rnacentral:lncRNA from 1 species
GGAAAACAAACAUGGAAAAUUGGUUUGCAAGGUCCCGUGGAUACUGAAGGGCCUUGAGCAUGUGGCUCUGAUAGGCCUUGAUCUUCUCCCUUGUUCUCUCUGCCUUGCCAAUAAAAAAAAAAAAAAAAAAGAAUUCUAUUCCUAAAGCUAGCCAUCAAGGACCAUUCCCUUAUUUAGCCAUUUCUUCCUCCUGAGGCUGACUGCCAAGGUUCAGCUCUCAAGGUAUUGGAAAUCCAGUAAUGAAAAGCCCCCUUUUGACACAUGUAGUUAAUAUGCCCAGUUACAAUUAAACACCUCAUCCUAAAACAGGGUUUCCCCCUUUACCUUUAUAAACCACCACUUUCCUAUGGGCCAUGUCUGUCUCCUCUCUAACCAGAGGCAGUCCUUUGUUCCCCAGAACAAAUACCCCUUCCCCUCUCAUUUGUCUCCUUCCCCUUCUCCUCCUCCUCUUUGUCUCUCAUUCCCUGCCCUCUGUCCCUGUGGGACAGACAAAUCUCCUUGGUGCUGAGAACUUGGUCUUGGGGGGUUCCUGAGCCAAUAACAAUGUCUAAAAGACACACAUGCAAGGCCCUGGCUAGACCCUACACAAAGGGCCUUCUACCUUGAUGGAACUGUUUGAGUGGCAUCUACUUCUGCUCUGGGGUCUCUCUCAGACCACUUUCCAGAAUGUAAGAAAAAGAAAGGUAUCUAUCUCCUGCCUGGAAUAGCCCCCCCUUCCCACUGUCUCGGUCUGUUGGCUGCAAACUCCUGGGCUGUGUUUUACUGAGAGACUCACCUUUGACCAGAGAAUUCUUCGGUGUGGCCUGGCAUAUCUAUUAGUUUACUCCAGAGGGGUGUGUUCACGUGUGAUAAAUAAUGCCUUCAGUAAGAAAAGCACUCCUUGCCGUGCCUCCAGGGUCUCAUUCUGAGGCUCGCUGAAAUGCAAA